rnacentral:rRNA from 1 species
GCGAACUCCGGGCCGGCAGCCUGGGUAAUACGGAGGGUGCAAGCGUUAUCCGGAGUUACUGGGUUUAAAGGGUGCGCAGUCGGAUAUAUAAGUCAGUGGUGAAAGCUUUCGGCUCAACCGGAAAAUUGCCGUUGAUACUAUAUAUCUUGAAUACUGUGGAGGUUUGCGGAAUAGGUCAUGUAGCGGUGAAAUGCAUAGAUAUGACCUGGAACACCUAUUGCGAAGGCAGCAGGCUACGCAGUUAUUGACGCUCAUGCACGAAAGCGUGGGUAGCGAACAGGAUUAGAUACCCGAGUAGUC